AUUUAGAUAGUUUAAUAUAAAAUUUUGAUUUGUGGAGUCGAAGAUAUACUUAGUAUUCUAGAUA
rnacentral:tRNA from 1 species